UAAGAUGGAGGAUUCUUGGAAAAUUCAGUGG
rnacentral:piRNA from 1 species